CGUAAAUAAUACGUAACAGGUGUUACUUCGUUCUCUUCCUGCUUAAUCCAUUUUGCAAAUUAUUACGUAAAUGUCACAUAUCGCCCGAAACCAAAAGUUUUAGAAGAGAAAAUACCCAAAAAGUGGACCACGAGUGAGGUUUACAAUGAUGCCAUGUUCCAUAUGUCGCUUAGUCUUUAUGCGCAUAGUAAACCAUAUUUCCCUUUCAUAAAGUGGACCGAACAACAUGUUGUGCUGGGUACUAUUUUGAAUCUUGGUAUUGGGACACAAAACUAUCAAAAACACUAUCAAUGACUUAUGAAUUUCUCAGUCCAGCGGUCAAAUUUCAAAUUGUUAAUUAUGUCCUGUACUAAUACUGCAAUGAUGAUUACAUAAGAUUUGCAAACUGUCUUCGAAUCAGGUUUCGAAGAGAAAAAAUCGUGAUUAUGCUGUUGAAAACUUCAUCCAACCGACAAGUGAGCACCGGAAACAUGAAAAUCCUCCUUUCGCAAGCUUUAAGUUAAAUUCGAUCUUUACAAUGGCAUUAUAUCAACACUUUAUGACUUCGUGUAGACAAGCUAUUUUAACGAUGUCUUAUCGAACGCACUUAGAUUAAAAAAAAAACUUCGAUCUUUUUUUUCAUGAGAUUUGCGUGGGAUUGACAUCAAAUGGAUAACACCUAUGUGAAACUUUUGUAUGUUAAAAAUAAAACUUUUAUCGCCUGUCUUGUAAAA